AACAGCAAUCAAUGUUCAUUCCAAAAAGCAGGGAUUGGGAAAUGGGGAAGCAUUGUAAUCCCCCUCAUAUAACAUUUCCCCAGGUCCCCACAUCUGCAAGACAAAUCUACAGUCAGGAUGGUCUUACUUUUUAUUAUUUUAUGCUCUUUCUUGCCAGAACAUGAACUUCAUCUUGCCUCACAAGCAGCACUGUCCCUUAAGUAACGUGACGCAUUUGUACAAACAAUACUUGCAGCUCGCUAGCACCUGAUCUCCUUCUCCAACCACGUCAGCUCUUAAACUUUCACAUGACUCACGGAAUGGCAACUCCAAAGAAGAAAAUAAUCUGUUAGCAAGGUAAAUAAAGGCUGGCCUUCCCUUCGUGCAGGGACCUGAGAUGACAGACAUGACUCAGAGAACACAGUCAGGCAACCCCGGUUGUUCACUCAACUUUCCAAUGCUGAACAAGAAUAAAAAAUCUGCCGUUUAUGAAAUAAAUGGAAAAGCGGCAAAAACCGGUGAUGAUCUUACAGUGUCAUCUGCUGCGAAGGUCCCAGAAGAGCCAUGAGCAGGUCUGCCAUCCUCCGGCUGUAGAUUGUUUAGGCACUGAAGCGAUACUGAUGAAGGACCUCAGCGGAGCCCAUCCCGGGGUCCGACACUGAAAGCUGUCAGCCACGCGUUACUGUACCCGUAUGUCUUUCAUUACUUUGCUGCCUGACAGCCCCGAUCCAGAACAUCCUGGCUUAUUCCUGAUUCCGUGAUAAAUACCUCUUUUCUUCUUACUUCCUGAUACUGAAAGAAAAAACAGUUUCACAACUAUUCAGCUGUAAUUCCUUCUUUGUAGAUGUGAUGUCUUCCCAGCUGCCUUUAAUCUCCAUUUUAAUGCCUUGGAAAUGGGAAUUUUACUGUAUUAAUACGCAGAAAGGCGGUCAAAGUGACAGUUGUUUUGCCUUAAGUGCAAAUACGUAUUAUGAAUGUUGGGCAGUGCUUUUGUGUUCCAUUAUUCUGUCUGACUGAGCACUAGUUGUUCACACAGACUUCAGGUACGAGAAAUUAUCAAGAGAGGGCAGCCUUCAGUCUUCAUUCAUGGGGCCAUAACUGACACACUGUUAGCCAGAAGCACGUGUCAUUUGUGGUCAUUUCAAAGCAACACUGUCAAUUCGAACCCAUGCUAAAUUUUAUGAACUAUGAAUGAAAAUGUCAUAUUAUUUAGUACAAAAUUUAGUACAGAAUGAGUAAAACGCUGUCUGCAAGAUGCUUAGAACAACAUUUAUCUUGCUGGCCCUGCUUUUAUAAAAACUGUUAUGUUUCAAAUAUAAAGUUAUGUCUCAAAUAUAUUUGCAGAGGU